rnacentral:rRNA from 1 species
CCCUUAGAUGUUCUGGGCCGCACGCGCGCUACACUGACGGAGGCAGCGAGCAUGUCCUUCGCCGAGAGGUGUGGGGAAUCUUGUGAGUCUCCGUCGUGCUGGGGAUAGAUGGUUGCAAUUGUCGAUCUUGAACGAGGAAUUCCUAGUAAGCGCGAGUCAUCAGCUCGCGCUGAUUACGUCCCUGCCCUUUGUACACACCGCCCGUCGCUACUACCGAUUGGAUGGUUUAGCGAGAACUUUGGACCGGAGCUCGGGUGGUCAGCAAUGGCCGCCCGAGACAUACUUGGAAAUCGCUCCAGCUUGAUCAUCUAGAGGAAGUAAAAGUCGUAACA